AAAAUCGUUUGUUCGUAUACUUUAUAAAGUUAAAUUAACGAAUAAGAUCGAAUUAUUGAUAUAUUUGAGAUUUGAAGCGGGAAAUUAUUCGUGGCAAUACUGUAUUGCGUUGGCAACACUGUAUUGUGCUUGGCGGCAUUAUCAGAUUUUUGCACACUGCCGUUUCUUUUUAAUAAGGUUUUAUAUUUUCCCUUGUAUAUUAAAUAACGAGUUCUAUCAUGUUCGAUGAUAAAAAUCAUGCAGAGUUAACGGAUGCUGAGGCUGAAUUAUACGAUCGGCAAAUUCGUUUAUGGGGUUUGGAAUCGCAAAAGCGAUUAAGAUCAGCAAAAGUAUUAUUGAUUGGACUUGGCGGGUUUGGUGCUGAGAUAGCAAAAAAUGUUAUAUUAGCAGGUGUUAAAACAAUUACGCUUUUAGAUCACAGAAAUGUGACAAUAGAAGAUACUUGUUCCCAGUUUUUUAUACCUAAUGAUCAAAUCGGUAAAAAUAAAGCAGAAGCAUCUUUACAAAGAACUAAGAAUUUGAAUCCUAUGGUCAAUGUAGAAGCAGAUUCUGCAAAUAUAGACGAUAAGCCAGAUGAAUAUUUUAAUAAUUUCAAUGUUAUCUGUGCUACUCAGUGUACUAUGACUCAAUUAAAAAAACUUAAUAAGAUAUGUAGACAGUAUAAGAUAAAAUUCUUUGCGGGAGAUGUUUGGGGUACUUUUGGAUAUACUUUUGCAGAUUUGGGCGAACACGAAUAUGCUGAGGAUAUCGUGCAAACUAAGCCAGUAAAUGCAGCAGGAGGUGAACCAAAAGGGAAAGAAAAAUUUGAAAAGAUUGUUAUUACUGAAAAACGUAAAGAUAAUUUCGUUCCUUUUGAGUCUAUCAUAGAUAUAGAUAAAAGUCGUCUUCCUACAAGGGAAUCAGAAAUGUAUUAUAUGAUGAUGAUAAUGUUGCAUUAUCGUGAAAAGUAUAAGAGUGACCCUUUACCUAGCGAAAGAGGCUCAGAAAAAUUGAAAGCAGAGUCAACAGCCAUUAUAGAAAAAUAUGAAUUAGGAGAUAAAAUAAAUUCCUUGAUAGAAGGAGAUUUGUAUGGUCAAAUUAGUCCAAUUUGUGCCAUAGUAGGUGGAGUUAUGUCUCAAGAGAUUAUAAAGGCUGUUUCGCAAAAGGAAGCUCCCCAUAACAAUGUAUUUCUUUUCAAUCCACAGACGUUGUGCGGCAAGAUCUUAAAAUUGGCGUAAUAAUCAUAAGCUGGCACACCAUUUGAUACUAUGUGUCGGACAAUCGUUGAAAACAUUAGAAAGGGUGAUGCGGCAUUUCUCACAGAGUUUUACACGAUCGCGUGACGACUCGAGAAGCACGUUAAAUAACGUAAGAGACUCGUUGGUACUUCCCGUGACUCAGGAAAAAGAAAGAAGGAAAGAAAAGAAAAAAGAAUAAGAACAAUAGAAUCCUGAACACACUCGGAACGAUUCGAUUUAGUUCUCUUUCGAAGUUCCGAAAUCUGAUGAGUCUUAUUCCUUUCUUUUUUGCUGAGAAUCCGUGUUCGUAUUCCGGUAACGAGGGAGCAGCACACGGAGACAGGAAAGGGUCGGGUUUUAUGGGCGGACUCCCACAAUGAAAGCGACGGCGGCAACGGCAACGGGAACGGCGACGUCGACGUCGACGAACGGCGUCGACCGAGAGAAAACGGAGGAAAAGCGGGAAAUAAGGGAAAAGCGCGAUCCGAGAAUAACGUAAUGAGACUCUCAAAAUAUAGCUAACGACGAUUGUCGAGGGUCAGUCUAGCGUGCCUUAACUGCAAUUGUCCAUUUUUAUUAUUUUCUCCUUUCCUCUUUCUUUCUCUUCCUUCUACUCUCUAUGUCUUUCUCUCUCUCUCUCUC